rnacentral:rRNA from 1 species
UACGUAGGGUGCGAGCGUUGUCCGGAAUUAUUGGGCGUAAAGGGCUCGUAGGCGGUCUGUUGCGUCAGGAGUGAAAACUCGGGGCUUAACCCCGAGCCUGCUUCUGAUACGGGCAGACUAGAGGUAUGCAGGGGAGAACGGAAUUCCUGGUGUAGCGGUGAAAUGCGCAGAUAUCAGGAGGAACACCGGUGGCGAAGGCGGCAUUCUGGACCGACAUUGACGCUGAGGAGCGAAAGCCAGGGGAGCAAACGGG